CAGCCCAUUUGCCCUCGCACCGCACCCCCUCCAGACCACCAAUGUCCGCCUACCACAGCAGCAACCCUGUCGAGGCCCGCCGCGCCGAGUGCGCGCGCCUGCAGGCCAAGUACCCCGGCCACGUCGCCGUGGUUGUCGAGGCGGCCGAAAAGGCCGGCAGCAAGGCGCACUUCCUCGCGCUGCCGCGCGACGCCACCGUCGCCGAGCUCGAGGCGGCCGUGCGCCAGGCGCUCAGCACCAGCGUCAAGAAGGUGACGCUCGCCAUCGAGGGCUCCGCCCCGGCGGUGACCGCCGCGGUCGGCGACAUCGCCGACGCCUGCAAGCGGGACGACGGCUUCCUGUACGUGAGCGUGCGCACCGAGCAGGCCAUGGGCGGCAUCGCCGGUCCCUGCUUCGCCAGCGACUCCGGCGGUAUGUAACCAGCGCGGCCUUCGCGCUUCCCAUCCUCUCUGUUCGUCCUCCCCUCACCCCUCCCCUCUCCUCCCAGUGACUUUGUCCUGCUUGGAAAAUCGCAGCGUCGCUGCCGUCUUCAUGUGUGAUGUUUUCUCGACUUAUCUCAUUUCGCGUGCAUGCGCGUGUGGCGCCUCCCCUCAGCCCAUACGCGAGCUGGUUCCUGGGCCGCAGUGUCUACGCAGGCACUCCACACACGCACGCGCGCACCCCUGCCCCGCCGCGGCGUGAAACUUGUGUGCCACCCAUGUGAACACGCCCUCUCUCUCUUUCCGUUCGUCAUCUUCUUGUGCUGCGGGGGUCGUGCUGUCGCUGCGCAGGCAGCCGGCAGCGCACACCGCCCUCCCUCCAUGUGUACAGCCCACUCGCAGUCCUAGCUGCCCCUCCCU
rnacentral:misc_RNA from 1 species